UAGCAUGGGAUAACAUCAUAGGAUUCCGGUCCUAUUGUGUUGGCCUUCGGGAUCGGAGUAAUGAUUAAUAGGGACAGUCGGGGGCAUUCGUAUUUCAUAGUCAGAGGUGAAAUUCUUGGAUUUAUGAAAGACGAACGUGUGCGAAAGCAUUUGCCAAGGAUGUUUUCAUUAAUCAAGAAC
rnacentral:ncRNA from 1 species